rnacentral:rRNA from 1 species
UUACCGCGGCUGCUGGCACGGAGUUAGCCGGUGCUUCUUCUGUGGUUAACGUCAAUCCGCAAGAGUAUUAAUCUUACGGCCUUCCUCACCACUGAAAGUGCUUUACAACCCGAAGGCCUUCUUCACACACGCGGCAUGGCUGCAUCAGGGUUUCCCCCAUUGUGCAAUAUUCCCCACUGCUGCCUCCCGUAGGAGUCUGGGCCGUGUCUCAGUCCCAGUGUGGCUGAUCAUCCUCUCAGAACAGCUAGAGAUCGUCGCCUUGGUGAGCCUUUACCCCACCAACUAGCUAAUCUCGCUUGGGCCCAUCUUUAGGUGUAAGGUCCGAAGAUCCCCUACUUUGGUCCGUAGACAUUAUGCGGUAUUAGCCACAGUUUCCCGUGGUUGUCCCCCUCCUAAAGGCAAGUUCCCAAGUAUUACUCACCCGUCCGCCGCUCGUCAGCAGAGAAGCAAGCUUCUCUCUGUUACCGCUCGACUUGCAUGUGUUAGGCCUGCCGCCAGCGUUCAAUCUGAGCCAUGAUCAAACUC